GUAGUAGUCCCUCCAUCCGGAAAUACUUGUCAUCAAAAUGAAUAAAAGGGGAUGUAUCUAAAUGUAUAUUAGUUCUAGAUACAUCUUUUUUAUCCAUUUUGAUGACAAGUAUUUUCGGACAGAGGGAGUACUUG
rnacentral:pre_miRNA from 1 species